UACCCAAUAGAGUACACAAAUGUUAUUAGCAAGGAAGAAUAAAUUCUCGCAGUAUAAUAAAAAAUAUACUCCCUCUAUUUCUUAAUUAAUAUAAGAAGAAGUUGACUUUUUAAAUACAUUAAAAAAUGAAUGUAUAUUUAGUCUAUAAUAUAGUCUAGAUACAUAAAUUUUUUAAUGUAUCUAAAAAGUGAAUCUCUUCUUAUAUUAAAGGCUGGAGGGAGUAUUCAAUAUAUUGUAUUAGCACCUAAUAAUUGUAUUUCUUUUUUUUUUUUUUUUUUUUUAGUUUCAUAAUUUCAUAUGCACCUUGCAACAAUUGUUAUGUACUCUAAAAUGUUGGUAAUUAAAUAAAAUAAGACACUAAAUACUAUUAGAUUGUAUAUUUUUUCUAUCUUAAUUAUGGAUGUUUCACAAGGCCUCCAAUUUAGACCUAUGAUUAAUGAAAUUGAAAUAUAUUAUAUAAGUUGAAUAAAAUAACUAUUUUACUUCGAAGCCCAAUAACUCUAAUUUUAUUAGUAUAGCUAUCAGCGUAGAUGUUUUAUUAAAAGUAAUUAGUAGAUAAAUAACAGUCUUAUUACCAGCUUUAUAGAGAUGAUGCUAUUUAGAUAUUCCUUAAUUUUUUCGUUUUAAUUAGUUCUUACUUUUUAGUAAACUCAAUGCAUAUAUAUAUAUAUAUAUAUAUAUAUAUAUGAGUUGUAUAGUUAUUAGAGGUAAUUAGAAGAUAAACAACAGUUUUAUGUUUUUUUUUGUUUACCAUAAUAUUGGUACAAAGUUUCUACUGCCGUUAGUGAUAACUAAUUUUCAUCGGGGAACGUGUGGAGCACACAAGGUGAUAAUAGUUUUCCUAUCAGCCGUAGAGAUUUAGUAAUUUAGAUAUGGCGCCAUUUUAGAGGAUUAGCUGAGGAUGUCUACAUUUUCAUGGUAAAUUGUCUACAAAGAUUCCUACCAUUUGUUGUAAUCCUAUUUUAUAGUCCUUAUGGGGCAGUGCUCUCUUUAUGAGUCUCGUGUUGGAACACUUAGAGUCUUGUGUGUGGUGGUGCAUGCUUCUGGAUUUUGGUGAUUUUGGAGGAGUGCAUUUUGAACUGGUGCAUAUAGGAUAUGAACCGGUGCGUUGCUAUUUGAUUGAAAUUGAU